rnacentral:rRNA from 1 species
UACGGAGGGAGCUAGCGUUGUUCGGAGUUACUGGGCGUAAAGCGCACGUAGGCGGCUUUGUAAGUUAGAGGUGAAAGCCUGGAGCUCAACUCCAGAAUUGCCUUUAAGACUGCAUCGCUUGAAUCCAGGAGAGGUGAGUGGAAUUCCGAGUGUAGAGGUGAAAUUCGUAGAUAUUCGGAAGAACACCAGUGGCGAAGGCGGCUCACUGGACUGGUAUUGACGCUGAGGUGCGAAAGCUAGGGGAGCAAACAGG